UCCAUCAUGGUGUAGUGGCUAACAUUAUCGCCUCUCAUGCGAGGUCGCUAGUGUCAGCAAUCUGAAUUAGACGCGAUAGCCCAGGGUUCGAUUCCCUGUGAUGGAA